rnacentral:rRNA from 1 species
GAUGAACGCUGGCGGCAUGCUUUACACAUGCAAGUCGAACGGGGUGGGGGGCAACCUUCACUCAGUGGCGAACGGGUGAGUAAUGCAUCGGAACGUAUCCCGUAGUGGGGGACAACGCCGCGAAAGCGGCGCUAAUACCGCAUAUGCUCUACGGAGGAAAGUGGGGGACCGCUAGGCCUCACGCUAUGGGAGCGGCCGAUGUCCGAUGAGCUAGUUGGGGGGGUAAUGGGCCACCAAGGCGACGAUCGGUAGCUGGUCUGAGAGGAUGAGCAGCCGCACUGGGAAUGCGACACGGGCCGGAACCCUAGGGGCGGCAGGAGUGGGGAAUUUGGGACAAUGGGGGCAACCCUGACCCAGCCAUGGCGCGUGCGGGAAGAAGGCCUUCGGGUUGUAAGCCGCUUUUAGGCGGGAAGAAAAGGCAUCUCCUAAUACGGGGUGUUCUUGACGGUACCGGCGGAAUAAGCACCGGCUAACUACGUGCCAGCCGCCGCGGUAACAC